ACAGUCUUUUCAAUAAAUAAUCCUGGGAAAACUGAAUAACUAAAUGAAGAAGGAUAAAAUUAAACCCCUCUUACCAUAUACAAAAAUCAAAUCGAAUAAAAAUAGAUUAAAGACUUGAAUCUAAGACCUGAAACUAUGAAGUUACUAAAAGAAAGCAUAGGAGAAAUGCUCCAGGACAUUGGUCCGGGCAGAUUUUUUUGCGUAAGACCUCAGAAGCACAGGCAACAAAGGCAAAAAUAGACAAUGGGAUUAUAUCAAGCUAAAAAGCCUCAAGCAAAGGAAAUAAUCAACAAAGUGAAGUGCCAACCACAGAAUGGGACAAAAUAUUUUCAAACUAUCCAUCUGAUAAAGGAGUAACAACUGCAAUAUAUAAAAAGCUCAAACAACUCAAUAAUAAUCAAAAAAUCUGAUUGAAAAAUGGGCUACUGAAGAGGCUGAGGUAUGGAGUGCAGUGGCACAACCAUGGCUCGCUGCAGCCUUGACCUCCUGGGCUCAAGCGAUUCUCCUACCUCAGCCUUCCAAGUAGCUGGGCUACAGGCAUGCACCAUCAUGCCCUGGUAAUAAAAAAAAAAAAUUUGUUUUA
rnacentral:lncRNA from 1 species